rnacentral:rRNA from 1 species
GACGAACGCUGGCGGCGUGCUUAACACAUGCAAGUCGAACGAUGAACCCGGAGCUUGCUCCGGCGGAUUAGUGGCGAACGGGUGAGUAACACGUGAGUAACCUGCCCUUGACUCUGGGAUAACUGCUAGAAAUGGUAGCUAAUACCGGAUACGACCCUCGGUGGCAUCACCAGGGGGUGGAAAGAAUUUCGGUCAAGGAUGGACUCGCGGCCUAGCAGCUAGUUGGUGAGGUAACGGCUCACCAAGGCGACGACGGGUAGCCGGCCUGAGAGGGUGACCGGCCACACAGGGACUGAGACACGGCCCAGACUCCUACGGGAGGCAGCAGUGGGGAAUAUUGCACAAUGGGCGCAAGCCUGAUGCAGCAACGCCGCGUGAGGGAUGACGGCCUUCGGGUUGUAAACCUCUUUUAGUAGGGAAGAAGCGAAAGUGACGGUACCUGCAGAAAAAGCACCGGCUAACUACGUGCCAGCAGCCGCGGUAA